ACACACACACACACACACAGAAUUUCAAUGAGUUUAUAUAAUUCCUGUGUUAUUAUAAAGUUUAUUAAUUACCGAAAUGAGAUGAUUUGUGUUAGUUCCAGACGGGAAUGGCUGUAAAACUAAAACAUUACGUAACACAACUUACUCCAUCAACAGGAGUUUGCUGCAUACUGCAACGAUCAGCUGAUAAGGAGUAUCGACAUAACCAUGGAGGAAGUGAACAUGUGAACGAGACAACAUCGCGGAUAUUCAUGAUUAUCAAGAGUGAAUUUCUGCUGUACAGCAACCAAAAGAUGAAGCAGCAUCCAGCAUGCAGCACCUUCAAGUCAGAAGUGGCCAAAAUGCAAGACAAAUACACUGAAUUAUGGAGGCGAUCACCAAUGACAUGUCCUACAUUAAGAAAGAUACUUACUAAUAAAUGAAGUGUAAUGUUAUUCUGAGGGAAGAAAUAAAAGUGUUACACCUCGUCAGCAA